CCUACGGGUGGCAGCAGUCGAGAAUCAUUCACAAUGGGGGAAACCCUGAUGGUGCGACGCCGCGUGGGGGAAUGAAGGUCUUCGGAUUGUAAACCCCUGUCAUGUGGGAGCAAAUUAAAAAGAUCGUACCACAAGAGGAAGAGACGGCUAACUCUGUGCCAGCAGCCGCGGUAAUACAGAGGUCUCAAGCGUUGUUCGGAAUCACUGGGCGUAAAGCGUGCGUCGGCUGUUUCGUAAGUCGUGUGUGAACGUCGCGGGCUCAACCCGCGGACGGCACAUGAUACUGCGAGACUAGAGUAGUGGAGGGGGAACCGGAAUUAUCGGUGUAGCAGUGAAAUGCGUAGAUAUCGAGAGGAACACUCGUGGCGAAGGCGGGUUCCUGGACAUUAACUGACGCUGAGGCACGAAGGCCAGGGGAGCGAAAGGGAUUAGAUACCCUUGUAGUC
rnacentral:rRNA from 1 species